UUGAGCGGUCCUAGGAAAGUGACCAGGCUGGUGUCCCAGGAUGGUCCACACCUGGCACCUCUCCAGUCUUCUCAUGCCCUCCCUUUACACCGAGCUUCCACACUGCAGUCAGAAAGAAGAUGUCAGACGCGGUGGCUCGCGCCUGUAAUCCCAGCACUUGUGGGAGGCAGAGGCAGGCGGAUCACUUGAGCCUAGGAGUUCAAGAUCAGCUUGGACAACAUGGCAAAACCCCGUCUCUACAAAAAAUGCAAAAAAUUAGCUGGACAUGGUGGUGCAUACCUGUGGUCCCAGCUACUUGGGAGGCUGAGGUGGGAGGCUCACUUGAGCCCAGGAGGUCAAGGCUGCAGUAAGCUAUGUUGGCAUCACUGCACUCCAGCCUGGGCAACAGAAUGACACCCUGUCAAAACGAAAAACAAAUAAACAAAAACCAAGAAAGAAAAUGA